rnacentral:rRNA from 1 species
UACGUAGGGUGCGAGCGUUAAUCGGAAUUACUGGGCGUAAAGCGUGCGCAGGCGGUUGUACAAGUCAGGUGUGAAAUCCCCGGGCUUAACCUGGGAACUGCACUUGUGACUGUACGACUGGAGUACGGCAGAGGGGGAUGGAAUUCCGCGUGUAGCAGUGAAAUGCGUAGAUAUGCGGAGGAACACCGAUGGCGAAGGCAGGUCUCUGGGCUGACACUGACGCUCAUGCACGAAAGCGUGGGGAGCAAACAGG